AACGGCGAGUGAACAGGCAAGAGCUCAGAUUUGAAAGCCUCUCGGGGCAUUGUAUUCUGAAGCCUUGAUUCUGAGAACCGGUACCUAAGUCUUCUGGAAAGGAGCGCCAAGGAGGGUGAUAGCCCCGUACGGUACUGACCUCAUUGUAGAAUCUUGGCGUGGAGUCGAGUUGUUUGGGAAUGCAGCUCAAAUGGGUGGUAUGCUCCAUCUAAAGCUAAAUAUCUGCGAGAGACCGAUAGCGAACAAGUACUGUGAAGGAAAGAUGAAAAGAACUUUGAAAAGAGAGUGAAAAAGUACGUGAAAUUGUUGAAAUGGAAGGAUAGGCCGCUAACCACGUAGAGCCGUGUCUGAGGGGAGGAUAAAAGCUGUAGAAUGUGGCUCUUCGGAGUGUUAUAGCUACAGUGCAUACUCCCACUCGGGCGCGAGGACCUAA
rnacentral:rRNA from 1 species